rnacentral:misc_RNA from 1 species
CUGGAACAAACGUCCUCACGGACGCUACCCAGAAACCCUUUGUGAACUUAUAUAAACGUUGCCUCGGCAUUGGUUGGCUUCCAAGAAGUCCCUCUCUUUCCCUAUUAUAGGGGCCCCUUUCAGAGGGGCAGUGAGGAGCAGACCGGCCGGUGGCCCCUAUAAACUCUUGUUUUUGUAACAUCUUCUGAGUAAAACAACUAAAUGAAUCA